UACGUAGGUGGCGAGCGUUGUCCGGAUUUAUUGGGUUUAAAGGGUGCGUAGGCGGCUUUGUAAGUCAGUGGUGAAAUACUCUAGCUUAACUAGAGGGGUGCCAUUGAUACUGCGGAGCUUGAGUACAGAUGAGGUAGGCGGAAUUGACGGUGUAGCGGUGAAAUGCAUAGAUAUCGUCAAGAACACCGAUAGCGAAGGCAGCUUACUGGGCUGUAACUGACGCUGAGGCACGAAGGCAUGGGGAGCGAACGGG
rnacentral:rRNA from 1 species